rnacentral:rRNA from 1 species
CAGCAGUGGGGAAUAUUGCACAAUGGGCGCAAGCCUGAUGCAGCAACGCCGCGUGAGGGACGAAGGCCUUCGGGUUGUAAACCUCUUUUAGUAGGGAAGAAGCGAAAGUGACGGUACCUGCAGAAAAAGCACCGGCUAACUACGUGCCAGCAGCCGCGGUAAUACGUAGGGUGCAAGCGUUAUCCGGAAUUAUUGGGCGUAAAGAGCUCGUAGGCGGUUUGUCGCGUCUGCUGUGAAAACUGGAGGCUCAACCUCCAGCCUGCAGUGGGUACGGGCAGACUAGAGUGCGGUAGGGGAGAUUGGAAUUCCUGGUGUAGCGGUGGAAUGCGCAGAUAUCAGGAGGAGCACCGAUGGCGAAGGCAGAUCUCUGGGCCGUAACUGACGCUGAGGAGCGAAAGCAUGGGGAGCGAACAGGAUUAGAUACCCUGGUAGUCCAUGCCGUAAACGUUGGGAACUAGAUGUAGGGACCAUUCCACGGUUUCUGUGUCGCAGCUAACGCAUUAAGUUCCCCGCCUGGGGAGUACGGCCGCAAGGCUAAAACUCAAAGGAAUUGACGGGGGCCCGCACAAGCGGCGGAGCAUGCGGAUUAAUUCGAUGCAACGCGAAGAACCUUACCAAGGCUUGACAUAUACGA